UACGCCUUUUGUUGAGUCUGCCGAAAAUCCAAGAAGAAGAAGCAGCGGCAGUCGAAGAAGAACUGUAAACAAACUAAAGUGAGGCGGCGUUUGUGUUUAGUUUUUAGGUUUUAACAGAAGAUGGAGGCACUCAGCAGGCGGGCUCUGGACCGGAUUUACUCCGCGGUAUUGCUGGCAGUUGUGGUUUUGUCCUGGUCUUAUGUGAUCUACGCCAGCAGGAUCGCCUCCGUUUGGCUGCUGGAACAGAGGACGCGUCGUUGACCGUGCGUCAGAGUGCAAGCGUACAGGUCUGUGUUCUGGUCAUGAUGACAUGUGGUAUCAUAAGUCAUCUCCACGGACACCUGCACAGUGUAAAGGGUGUAAACUGUGGUAUUGUUCAAAGCACAAAGUGAGCGUCAUGCAUAAAAGACAAAGCAUGUUAGGAAGAGCUCUUUUAGCUGCUGGUACAAAUGGGAGAAACAGACCCUGUUUCCCUGCUCAUAUGAACACCUCACUGCUCUUUUCACAUCCCUUUAAACCCAGCCGUCUGGUUGAAGUCACUGCAGCACCACCAGGGGUCAGUAUAUGAACUGUGAUCUGCUGCAGAUCUCAGGCUUCAGUCAGAUUUUUGCUUAACUUUUUAAAUUUGCUAAUUAAAGUUCCUAACUGAAUGACAUGACCCUAAAUAUGAGCCUGGUUGUGGGUUAGAUUCUCUAGGUACAUAACAAAAGACCCUUUAGUGCUUGUUUAUUGCCUCCUUUAGUUGAGUUGAAGCUUGAAGAUCAGGCUGGUCAUUUAUCCCCGCACGAGAGGAUGUUGUAGGAUUUUUUUUCCUAAAGUCUACAGUCAUUUGUUUAGUUGUGGAUGUAUUAGUGUGUCUGGAAGGACUUUCUUUGAAGUGAAGAUCUUUGGGUUUCAGAAGGUUAAACCUGUUCCUCCUGCUCUGGUCUCAGGCUGAUGGACCCCUUUGAGCCCUCGUUCCAGAGGUUCAGACCUGAACAUAUGGUGACUGUUCAGGUAUGAGAGGACAGAAGCGGCUGAAAGCACCAGAGGUUUCCAGGAGGUCAGAUCUGAAAGGAGACGACACAACAACCAAAAACUGGUUUAAAAGUGGGAAAAGACGGCGUAAUGAGAGACACAAUGAAGACGAGCUCCGAACUUGAGCGGGUUCUAUGGGGACUGUGUUUAGCCCACAACACAGUAAAACCCCACAACAUCCACUCUGAUACUUUAUGUUGUAAUUACUGCUGAGUAACUUAGAGUAAUUGAAGCUGGAUUAAUGACUUCUUGGGCAGUCAGACCAGAUCUCUCUCUUUAAUUGAGACUUUUAUACAUUGUCCCACAUCUGUCUCACAUUUUGACUUCUUCUGCACUUUUUCUAAAGUGUGGCUUUUACCCAGUGCAUAUCAAGGGAAGGCUUUUUUAUAUGUGUCAAAUAAAGAUUAGCCACUUUAAUGUUGGGAAUGUUA